rnacentral:rRNA from 1 species
AUACGUAGGGGGCGAGCGUUGUCCGGAAUUACUGGGCGUAAAGGGUGCGUAGGUGGCACUUUAAGUUGGAUGUGAAAUCCCCGUGCUUAACAUGGGAGCUGCAUCCAAUACUGGAGAGCUAGAGUGCAGGAGAGGUAAGCGGAAUUCCUAGUGUAGCGGUGAAAUGCGUAGAUAUUAGGAGGAACACCAGUGGCGAAGGCGGCUUACUGGACUGUAACUGACACUGAGGCACGAAAGCGUGGGGAGCAAACAGGAUUAGAUACCUUGGUAGUCCACGCUGUAAACGAUGAAUACUAGGUGUAGGGGGUAUCAACUCCCUCUGUGCCGCAGCAAACGCAAUAAGUAUUCCGCCUGGGGAGUACGGCCGCAAGGUUGAAACUCAAAGGAAUUGACGGGG